rnacentral:tRNA from 1 species
UGUGGAUUGAUGUAAUAGUAACAUAAUUGGCUCAUGUCCAAUAAAUAGAAGUGCAAGUCUUUUGUCCACAC